rnacentral:rRNA from 1 species
CCUACGGGAGGCAGCAGUGGGGAAUCUUGCGCAAUGGGCGAAAGCCUGACGCAGCCAUGCCGCGUGAAUGAUGAAGGUCUUAGGAUUGUAAAAUUCUUUCACCGGGGACGAUAAUGACGGUACCCGGAGAAGAAGCCCCGGCUAACUUCGUGCCAGCAGCCGCGGUAAUACGAAGGGGGCUAGCGUUGCUCGGAAUUACUGGGCGUAAAGGGAGCGUAGGCGGAUAGUUUAGUCAGAGGUGAAAGCCCAGGGCUCAACCUUGGAAUUGCCUUUGAUACUGGCUAUCUUGAGUAUGGGAGAGGUAUGCGGAACUCCGAGUGUAGAGGUGAAAUUCGUAGAUAUUCGGAAGAACACCAGUGGCGAAGGCGGCAUACUGGCCCAUUACUGACGCUGAGGCUCGAAAGCGUGGGGAGCAAACAGGAUUAGAUACCCUGGUAGUCCACGCUGUAAACGAUGAGUGCUAGUUGUCGGCAUGCAUGCAUGUCGGUGACGCAGCUACGACAUAAGACACUCCGCCGUCGGGAGGUACGGUCGCGAAGAAGUUAAACGUAACGAAGAAGUUAGACGGCGUGAGACGUGCCGACGGACGACCGACGACGGGAGGAGG